UAAGGAAUAUUGGUCAAUGGGCGAGAGCCUGAACCAGCCAUGCCGCGUGCAGGAAGACGGCCUUAUGGGUUGUAAACUGCUUUUACCGGGGAAUAAACCUAUCUACGUGUAGAUAGCUGAAGGUACCCGAAGAAUAAGCAUCGGCUAACUCCGUGCCAGCAGCCGCGGUAAUACGGAGGAUGCAAGCGUUAUCCGGAUUCAUUGGGUUUAAAGGGUGCGCAGGCGGAUUGGUAAGUCAGUGGUGAAAUUCAACGGCGCAACUGUUGAUCUGCCAUUGAUACUGUCAGUCUAGAGUAUAGUUGGAGUGGGCGGAAUGUGUCAUGUAGCGGUGAAAUGCUUAGAUAUGACACAGAACACCGAUCGCGAAGGCAGCUCACUAAGCUAAAACUGACGCUCAUGCACGAAAGCGUGGGGAUCAAACA
rnacentral:rRNA from 1 species